AUGGCACGAACAACCAAACAACGAGACGAGCCGGAGAUGGGCAGGGGAGACCUGGUCGAGGAUGGGGAAGUCUACGCGGGUGAGGUCCCCGAGCGAGGAGGCCGGCUCCGCCUCCCGCGAAGGCGCGGCCAUGGCCGCCGUCCCACAGCGGCCCCGCCGCGGAGAAAACGUGAGCACAGCGCCGCCGCCGAUAGUUCCGGGAUAGCUGCGGUUCCUGACGGAGGAGGGGAAGUACCGGAGCGACGCCACCGCCGCCGCCGCCGCGGUCGCCAUGCGCGCCGUCUCUGUUGGUUGGAUUAG
rnacentral:rRNA from 1 species